AAACAAUUAGGAAAUGCCACAAAUAAUUCCAAGAAAAUUCACAUGUAAACUAGACAUACAAGAGUAGGUUCAUGCAAAAUUUUGGAUCAAUUGGAGGUCAAGAAGCAUGGUAAUGAAAAUCAUGAAGUUGGACAUCAAUGGUGUGACACAAAUUGUCACACCCUAAUUCAAAAAUUCAUAACUCACAAACCAGCAAUGAUAAAUUCACAAACUCUACACCAAAAUCACCAUGAGUGUGUCUAGUUUAAGCACAAAAAAUUUGGGAGCCAUUGGAUACAUUCUCAUCAUUUCACAAAUGUUUUGGCAAAGUGUACAAUAUUUGGUCACA
rnacentral:lncRNA from 1 species